rnacentral:rRNA from 1 species
CCCAGACUCCUACGGGAGGCAGCAGUGAGGAAUAUUGGUCAAUGGGCGAGAGCCUGAACCAGCCAAGUCGCGUGAGGGAAGACGGUCCUAUGGAUUGUAAACCUCUUUUGCCGGGGAGCAAAAAGCGGUACGUGUACCGCAUCGAGAGUACCCGGAGAAAAAGCAUCGGCUAACUCCGUGCCAGCAGCCGCGGUAAUACGUAGGGGGCAAGCGUUAUCCGGAUUUACUGGGUGUAAAGGGAGCGUAGACGGCGACGCAAGUCUGAAGUGAAAUGCCAGUGCUCAACACUGGAACUGCUUUGGAAACUGUGUAGCUAGAGUGCAGGAGAGGUAAGUGGAAUUCCUAGUGUAGCGGUGAAAUGCGUAGAUAUUAGGAGGAACACCAGUGGCGAAGGCGGCUUACUGGACUGUAACUGACGUUGAGGCUCGAAGGCGUGGGGAGCAAACAGGAUUAGAUACCCUAGUA